rnacentral:tRNA from 1 species
GGUUGAGAAGCUAAAUAGGAUAUACAGCGUCAGCCUUUUAAGCUGAAAAUUGGUGACUUCCUCCCACCCUCAACAA